GACCAUAUCACGUUGAAAUACCAGGUUCUCGUACGAUCACCGUUGGUUUAAGCAACGUCGAGCCUGGUCAGUACCUAGAUGGGUGACCGCUUGGGAAUACCAGGUACUGUA